rnacentral:rRNA from 1 species
GCUUACGGCCAUACCACCCUCUCUGCACCCGAUGUCAUCUGAUCUCGGAAGCUAAGCAGGGUUGGGCCUGUUUAGUACUUGGAAGGG